CCGAUCAUACAGCGGAAGAAGAAACGCCUCACUGUCAUCAUCAUCAUCAUCAUCAUCAUCAUCACCACCACCACCACCACCAACAGCAUCCUCCACCGCUAUGAUGCUCCAUCUCAUCCCACAAGCUCUAAUCAUGUGUUUCAGUGUGCUAGUUGAGGGACAACCCGAGGACUUCAAACUGACCGAGAGAGCUUAUGUUGUUCUACAGAAACAGAAUUUAGUCACAAUGGGGACGGUUCUCGCAGUCCUGCUGGUGCUAAUGAUCAUCAUGGCAGUCUGUGUCUACAAACCGCUGUCUCGUCGCUGAAACUGGCCCGAAACCUGCAGGAGAAAAGGACCGAGACAGAGCCUGUGUCCACCGGGAGCACCGAGGAGCUGCAGCCCCGGGGCCUCGGCCGGCUCCGGACUGGAGGGACCAGACUCGGGGGAUGAACCGAGCUCUGCCACCACAGCUACCAUCCACCCAGACUGCACAAUUCACUAAGCCUUUAAUCAUAUACAAGUUACUGGAUGUUUGGACGCAUCAGACGAUCACACAUAUUUUGAUUUUCUGUAAUUCCUUUCUUAAAUUUACAUCUGUAAACAGUGGGGAACAUGAUCGAUAUAAUGAUUUGUCUAAUUUACCUCUCAAUAAUCUGGGCUAUUACAUCUAUUAUUACUAUUUAACUAUUAAUUAACUUCUACUAUUUAAAUGUAUCACGUUUUCUUUGUAUUUAAUUAUUUGAACUUUGCACCUGAAGGAAAUGCUGUAUUUGUAUUUUCUUAUUAAAAAACAAAACGUGGUCUAUAAAUUGUAGUUCUGCAACCAUUAAAUUCCUUUAAGUGGGAUUAUUAUGUGAAAGAAUUGGCACUGUUUAGAUGUAAAUCAAACAGUUUAACAGUUUCUUUUCUCUAAAUGUGGAAAUCUAUUCUUCAGUUUUCUGAAAUUAGCUGUAAACCUAUUUGUUUUAUUUAUUUAGUGGAUUGCUUGAAACAUACUGACUUUAAAUCAAAAAGUUGUAGAUAGUUUUACUAUGUUUACAUUUAGGGCCAGGUUGUUGUUUUAGAAAAUGAGAAGGCUUCUGUGCAGAUUAAAUCCAGUGACACCAAGAAA